rnacentral:rRNA from 1 species
GACCUGACUGCUAUCGGAUUGAUACUAAGCCAUGCGAGUCAUUGUAGCAAUACAAGGCAUACGGCUCAGUAACGCGUAGUCAACCUAACCUAUGGACGGGAAUAACCUCGGGAAACUGAGAAUAAUGCCCGAUAGAACAUUAUACCUGGAAUGGUUUAUGUUCCAAAUGAUUUAUCGCCGUAGGAUGGGACUGCGGCCUAUCAGUUUGUUGGUGAGGUAAUGGCCCACCAAGACUAUUACAGGUACGGGCUCUGAGAGGAGUAGCCCGGAGAUGGGUACUGAGACACGGACCCAGGCCCUAUGGGGCGCAGCAGGCGAGAAAACUUUGCAAUGUGCGAAAGCACGACAAGGUUAAUCCGAGUGAUUUCUGCUAAAGAAAUCUUUUGUUAGUCCUAGAAACACUAACGAAUAAGGGGUGGGCAAGUUCUGGUGUCAGCCGCCGCGGUAAAACCAGCACCUCAAGUGGUCAGGAUGAUUAUUGGGCCUAAAGCAUCCGUAGCCGGCUCUGUAAGUUUUCGGUUAAAUCUGUACGCUUAACGUACAGGCCGCCGGGAAUACUGCAAAGCUAGGGAGUGGGAGAAGUAGACGGUACUCGGUAGGAAGUGGUAAAAUGCUUUGAUCUAUCGAUGACCACCUGUGGCGAAGGCGGUCUACUAGAACACGUCCGACGGUGAGGGAUGAAAGCUGGGGGAGCAAACCGGAUUAGAUACCCGGGUAGUCCCAGCUGUAAACUAUGCAAACUCAGUGAUGCAUUGGCUUGUGGCCAAUGCAGUGCUGCAGGGAAGCCGUUAAGUUUGCCGCCUGGGAAGUACGUACGCAAGUAUGAAACUUAAAGGAAUUGGCGGGGGAGCACCACAAGGGGUGAAGCCUGCGGUUCAAUUGGAGUCAACGCCGGG